rnacentral:rRNA from 1 species
UACGGAGGGGGCUAGCGUUGUUCGGAAUUACUGGGCGUAAAGCGCACGUAGGCGGCUUUGUAAGUUAGAGGUGAAAGCCCAGGGCUUAACCCUGGAAUUGCCUUUAAGACUGCAUCGCUCGAAUUGUGGAGAGGUGAGUGGAAUUCCGAGUGUAGAGGUGAAAUUCGUAGAUAUUCGGAAGAACACCAGUGGCGAAGGCGACUCACUGGACACAUAUUGACGCUGAGGUGGCGAAAGCGUGGGG